CCGUCACAACGGCUUCCUGGCGUGACGGGGUAAAUCAAUGGAGCA
rnacentral:ncRNA from 1 species